GGGUGAGUAACGCGUAUCCAACCUUCCCCUUAGUAGGGCAUAGCCCGUAGAAAUGCGGAUUAAUACCCUAUGUUAUUCGUCGAGGACAUCUGAAGUGAAUCAAAGGUUUACCGCUAAGGGAUGGGGAUGCGUCUGAUUAGGCAGCAGGCGGGGUAACGGCCCACCUGGCCUACGAUCAGUAGGGGUUCUGAGAGGAAGGUCCCCCACAUUGGAACUGAGACACGGUCCAAACUCCUACGGGAGGCAGCAGUGAGGAAUAUUGGUCAAUGGGCGCGAGCCUGAACCAGCCAAGUAGCGUGCAGGAUGACGGCCCUAUGGGUUGUAAACUGCUUUUAUGCGGGGAUAAAGUUCACUACGUGUAGUGUUUUGUAGGUACCGCAUGAAUAAGGACCGGCUAAUUCCGUGCCAGCAGCCGCGGUAAUACGGAAGGUCCGGGCGUUAUCCGGAUUUAUUGGGUUUAAAGGGAGCGCAGGCGGAAGCUUAAGCGUGACGUGAAAUGUAGCCGCUCAACGGCUGAGUUGCGUCGCGAACUGGGUUUCUUGAGUGAGUGCGACGUCAGCGGAAUUCGUGGUGUAGCGGUGAAAUGCUUAGAUAUCACGAAGAACCCCGAUUGCGAAGGC
rnacentral:rRNA from 1 species